rnacentral:rRNA from 1 species
AAUGAACGCUGGCGGCAGGACUAACACAUGCAAGUUGAACGUGAUCUAUCCUUCGGGAUAGUGAAAGUAGCGCACGGGUGAGUAACGCGAGGGAAUUUACACUUCAGUACGGAACAACAGUUGGAAACGACUGCUAAUACCGUAUAAUGACUCCGGUCCAAAGAUUUAUCGCUGAAGGAUAAGCCCGCGUCUGAUUAGCUAGUUGGUGGGGUAAUGGACUACCAAGGCGACGAUGAGUAGGGGGUUUGAGAGGAUGAUCCCCCACCCUGGUAAUGAGACGCGGCCCAGACUACUGCGGGAGGCAGCAGUGAGUAAUAUUGGACAAUGGGCGAAAGCCUGAUCCAGCCAUGCGGCGUGAGUGAAGAAGGCCUUCGGGUUGUAAAGCUCUUUCAGUUGCGAAGAUAAUGACGGUAGCAACAGAAGAAGCUCCGGCUAACUCCGUGCCAGCAGCCGCAGUAA